GACGAACGCUGGCGGCGUGCUUAACACAUGCAAGUCGAACGGAGAGGCCCUGCUUUUGUGGGGUGCUCGAGUGGCGAACGGGUGAGUAACACGUGAGUAACCUGCCCUUGACUUUGGGAUAACUUCAGGAAACUGGGGCUAAUAACGGAUAGGAGCUCCUGCUGCAUGGUGGGGGUUGGAAAGUUUCGGCGGUUGGGGAUGGACUCGCGGCUUAUCAGCUUGUUGGUGGGGUAGUGGCUUACCAAGGCUUUGACGGGUAGCCGGCCUGAGAGGGUGACCGGCCACAUUGGGACUGAGAUACGGCCCAGACUCCUACGGGAGGCAGCAGUGGGGAAUAUUGCACAAUGGGCGGAAGCCUGAUGCAGCAACGCCGCGUGCGGGAUGACGGCCUUCGGGUUGUAAACCGCUUUCGCCUGUGACGAAGCGUGAGUGACGGUAAUGGGUAAAGAAGCACCGGCUAACUACGUG
rnacentral:rRNA from 1 species